rnacentral:lncRNA from 1 species
GCAUUUUGAGUCUAUUAGGAUUAGUUUAACCCUUAGUUUCCUUAAUUUUGAUAGUUUAGUCACUUGGAACUCUUGAGGUGUGCUUUUGUGUGUUAAAUGAUUGCAGUGAGAAUUAUAAUUGGAAAAUUUAGAUUUGGAACUUAAAGUUUAAGGACUUGGAGUGAAUUAGGGUCAAAAGAUGGACGAUUUGGAGCUUCUUGGAUAUACAAAUGAAAUAUCACAACCUUGGAAGCAAGAGAAACUUGAAGAAAUGGAAGCCAACAAGUGCCACACUCAAGGUGUGACAACCAUCACUAGUGUGGGUGUUCCAAGGAGCUCAAAAACUACUUCUAUCAAAGAUCACACCUUGGAUGUGGAACCCACCACAAAUUUGGCCGUCUAGGAGUGCUAAGAAGUUAGCCACAACAAAGUUCACAUUUCAGGUGUGGCACGUUUUCUAAGGGUGUGAUGAUCUUGUAGCUCAUUAUUUUGUGUUUUAAAGUUUUAAACUACACGGGCUUAGACCCUAAUUGUAGCCUAAAUAAAAAUAAACCUCUUAGGAUUAGGAAAAAGGUUUUGAACCUUUAGAUUUAGACGACUAAGAGGAAAAGCUUGGAUCAUUAUCCUUUCACUCUUCUUCCGAGUUUGAUGUUUUCUUUCUGUUAUUUUAUUCUCAUG